GACGAACGCUGGCGGCGCGCCUAACACAUGCAAGUCGAACGAGCGAGAGAGAGCUUGCUUUCUCGAGCGAGUGGCGAACGGGUGAGUAACGCGUGAGGAACCUGCCUCAAAGAGGGGGACAACAGUUGGAAACGACUGCUAAUACCGCAUAAGCCCACAGCUCGGCAUCGAGCAGAGGGAAAAGGAGCAAUCCGCUUUGAGAUGGCCUCGCGUCCGAUUAGCUAGUUGGUGAGGUAAUGGCCCACCAAGGCGACGAUCGGUAGCCGGACUGAGAGGUUGAACGGCCACAUUGGGACUGAGACACGGCCCAGACUCCUACGGGAGGCAGCAGUGGGGAAUAUUGCACAAUGGGGGAAACCCUGAUGCAGCGACGCCGCGUGGAGGAAGAAGGUCUUCGGAUUGUAAACUCCUGUUGUUGAGGAAGAUAAUGACGGUACUCAACAAGGAAGUGACGGCUAACUACGUGCCAGCAGCCGCGGUAAAACGUAGGUCACAAGCGUUGUCCGGAAUUACUGGGUGUAAAGGGAGCGCAGGCGGGAAGACAAGUUGGAAGUGAAAUCCAUGGGCUCAACCCAUGAACUGCUUUCAAAACUGUUUUUCUUGAGUAGUGCAGAGGUAGGCGGAAUUCCCGGUGUAGCGGUGGAAUGCGUAGAUAUCGGGAGGAACACCAGUGGCGAAGGCGGCCUACUGGGCACCAACUGACGCUGAGGCUCGAAAGUGUGGGUAGCAAACAGGAUUAGAUACCCUGGUAGUCCACACUGUAAACGAUGAUUACUAGGUGUUGGAGGAUUGACCCCUUCAGUGCCGCAGUUAACACAAUAAGUAAUCCACCUGGGGAGUACGACCGCAAGGUUGAAACUCAAAGGAAUUGACGGGGGCCCGCACAAGCAGUGGAGUAUGUGGUUUAAUUCGACGCAACGCGAAGAACCUUACCAAGUCUUGACAUCCUGCGACGGUGCUGGAAACAGUACUUUCCUUCGGGACGCAGAGACAGGUGGUGCAUGGUUGUCGUCAGCUCGUGUCGUGAGAUGUUGGGUUAAGUCCCGCAACGAGCGCAACCCUUAUGGUCAGUUACUACGCAAGAGGACUCUGGCCAGACUGCCGUUGACAAAACGGAGGAAGGUGGGGAUGACGUCAAAUCAUCAUGCCCUUUAUGACUUGGGCUACACACGUACUACAAUGGCGUUAAACAAAGAGAAGCAAGACCGCGAGGUGGAGCAAAACUCAGAAACAACGUCCCAGUUCGGACUGCAGGCUGCAACUCGCCUGCACGAAGUCGGAAUUGCUAGUAAUCGCAGAUCAGCAUGCUGCGGUGAAUACGUUCCCGGGCCU
rnacentral:rRNA from 1 species